ACCUAGCUGGCUCAGUCAGUAGAGCAUGUGACUCUUAAUCUCUGGGCUGUGAGUUCCAGCCCCAUGCGGGGUA
rnacentral:tRNA from 1 species